rnacentral:rRNA from 1 species
CCUACGGGAGGCAGCAGUGAGGAAUAUUGGUCAAUGGGCGAGAGCCUGAACCAGCCAAGUCGCGUGAGGGAGUACUGCCCUAUGGGUUGUAAACCUCUUUUGUCGGGGAGCAAAAGCCGGACGUGUCCGGCUGUGAGAGUACCCGAAGAAAAAGCAUCGGCUAACUCCGUGCCAGCAGCCGCGGUAAUACGUAGGGAGCAAGCGUUAUCCGGAUUUACUGGGUGUAAAGGGCGUGUAGGCGGGCAUGUAAGCCAGAAGUGAAAUCUGGGGGCUUAACCCCCAAACUGCUUUUGGAACUGCGUGUCUUGAGUGAUGGAGAGGCAGGCGGAAUUCCCAGUGUAGCGGUGAAAUGCGUAGAUAUUGGGAGGAACACCAGUGGCGAAGGCGGCCUGCUGGACAUUAACUGACGCUGAGGCGCGAAAGCGUGGGGAGCAAACAGGAUUAGAUACCCCAGUAGUC